UCAGGGGGCGCCUGCAGGGGGUAGGAGCCGCUCUCAAGGAUGUCUGUCUGUAGCCCCAUGGUGGGGUAUAUGUUUGUAACCCCAUUGCAGGAUAUCUGGGUUGGUGAGUAUCCUAGGCAUUGCCAAUGCCUCCUUCCUUCUGCUGACUGGUUCUGUACCCUCCGGUGGGGUGUCUGUAGCCCCACUGAGGGAUGUUGGCUUGUAGCUCCACCAUGGGGUGUCUGUGUCUGUAACCCAAUUCGGGGUGUCUGUCUCAGUUUGUCUCCUGGGGGUCUCAGUUGGCUCUUUCUUUUAUAUUUAUUUUUUGAGACAGAGUCUCCCUCUGUCACCCAGGCUGGAGUGCAGUGGCACAAUCUUGGCUCACUGCAACCUCUGCCUCCUGAGUUGGGAUCAAGUGAUUCUGCUGCCUCAGCCUCCUGAGUAGCUGGCACUACAGGUGUGCACCAGCAUGCCCGGCUAAUUUUUGCAUUUUUUGUAGAGAUGGGAUUUUACCACACUGGCCAGGCUGGUCUCGAACUUCUGUCCUCAAGUGAUCCUCCUGCCUUGGCCUCUUAAAGUGCUGGGAUUACAGGCGCGAGCCACUGCGCCCAGCCUCAGUUGGCUCUUUCUAACUAGUAGAAAGAGUCUUGGUUUGGGAGACUUCUCCUCAAUCAGGAAGAUUUCGAGGAGAUUUCUCAGAUGGAGAAUAGAAGGACAGUUUGGAAGGGACACUCUUGGAGUUCUUGGUUAGGGAUCUGAUUUGGAAAACGCUGUGUUCAUCUUGUCUUUAUGUGUGUUUGUAUAUGUGGAGGGGAUCUCAGAGGGAAUUGCUGAUGGACGUUCAGCAGGCCUAACUCAGAGAACCCUCCUUAUUUGUCUGGUCACAUUCGGUGAGCCCUGAAAAAUGCUCAGCAGGCCUGUCUCGGGGUGACUAUGUGCUCUUCGCCUUGCCCAGAGACCCCAUUGUGAAUUACCCUUUGGAGGUCAUCCCGCCCCAGCUGGGGUGGAUCAAAGACAACAGAGACCAACGGGAGAAAGUUUGGGCUUUGCCAGGCUGAUAGUGGGUGCUGAAUGAGGUGAUUCAUGUCUGUUUUGUUAUGUGUAUUUCGCUGGGAUGGAAAAUGUUAAUUGGGUUCCCCAGGCAGCCUGUUGGGCAGCAUCUUGCAAAUUAAGAAUCUUGUCUGUGGUUCCAUAACACAGAAAGGGGUGAUUUUCUCUUGUAAAGUGGUUUGAACCCCACAGCCAUGGCACUAGCGAGCAGGGUCAUCAGAGCUGCUCCAUUCUUCUGGAAGCUGCAGAGAAAGGGAGCCCGGAAACCUGGUAUGCCGGCAAAAAGGGUAAGUGGCAGGGAAAAAGGGGAGGAGAGAGAAAAGACAGACUCAGUUGGCCUCAUGCUAUCUUCACUGGGUCUUGUUGGAAAGCUAAGUCUCCUCUAUCAGAGUAAAGAUUUUUCCUUUUUAAAAUUUUUGGAGCUAUCAUUUUGGCCAAAUGGAUGACUUAUGGUGACCUGGGAUGCUAUUUUGUGAUAUUCAGUGUUUUAAACCUUUGAUAUUUGACAAACGUUCCAAAACCAAAUUAUAAAUUAUGUCUCUUUUUAACCUUUUAGAUAUUAGGUUCUUUAAAGUCCAAAAAUGACAUUUGGCUUAUUUGGUAUAAAAAUCAUACAGAAAGCAUUGUCAAAUAUGACAUGGUGUUUGGCUUUCUUUGGGCUAUAUUUGUGCAAAUAUGUUAUUGACACAUAUUUCAAAAUUAUGUAAAACACCUAUAAUUCUAAUAUGACUUAGUAUAAGUUAUCAGUAAUAAUUAUAAUUAUUAUGUUAAAUGACUGUGUGCCACAGAGGUAACAAAUUUCCUUGCCAAUUGUGUCUUUAACUGUGGCUGCCCUAAAAUGUUUUGUCAUCCACAGGCAAUUGUUGUCUCAUUUUGGUCCUCUUUUUUUCUUUUUUUUUUUUUUUGGAGAUGGAGUUUCACUCUUGUACUCUUGUCGCCCAGGCUGGAGUGCAAUGACACGAUCUUGGCUGACUGCAACCUCUGCCUCCCGGGUUCAAGCAAUUCUCCUGCCUCAGCCUCCUGAGCAGAUGGGAUUACAGGUGUGUGCCACCAUGCUCGGCUAAUUUUUGUAUUAUUAGUAGAGACGGGGUUUCACCAUGGUGGCUAGGCUGGUCUCGAACUCCUCACCUCAGGUGAUCCACUCACCUCGGUCCCCCAAAGUGCUGGGAUUACAGGUGUGAGCCACUGUGCCUGGCCAGUCCUCUUUAAAGGAUGGUUUUAUAAUCAGCUAUAAAAUUUAACAGGGGCUCUUCAGUGCAGAUUUCUGAUUAAUAACCUGGAGAUUGUGACGUUAGAAUAGAGAAAAAAACUUUCAAAUAGAAGAGUGAAUAGUGUUUGGUUGUCUUUGGACUGUAUCUGUAUAGAUAUGUUAUUAGUAUGUGUUUCAAAAUUAUGGGAAACUUCUAUAAUUCUGAUAUAAUUUAGUGUUAUUAAUAAUUAUAAUUUUUAUACAAAAUUGUUGUAUGCCACAGAAGUAAACAAAAUUCUAGUCAAUUGUAGCUUUAGUAGUGGCUAUCUUAAGACUUCUAUCAUACACAGACAUUUCGUCUUGCUUUGGCAGUUUAUAAUCAGGUAUAAGUCUCUUGGGGAAUCUGACCUCAUACCUCAUCUAUGCAGUUCCUGUACAAGGUUCCUGACCUGUGGUCUUUAGAUAAACUCUUUCAACCAACUGCCAAUCAGAAAAUCUGUGAAUCUGCCUGUGAUCUGGAAGCCUCUGCUUCCUGGUGUGCCACCUUUCCCGUCUGAACUGAUGUACAGCUUAAAUGUAUUGAUUGAUGCCUUAUGCCCUAUAGCAUGUAUAAAACCUAGCUGUGCCCUGAUCACCUGGGUCACACGUUCUCCGGGUCUCCUGAGGACUGUGUCACGGGCUGUGGUCACUCACGUUUGGCUCGAAAUAAAUCUCUCCAAUAUUUUACAGAGUUUGUUCUUUUUGUUGACAAUCUUUUAAAAUGUCUAAUCAGGAGAAAA
rnacentral:lncRNA from 1 species